rnacentral:lncRNA from 1 species
CCCCCCGUCAGGCUUCAGACACGGCGCCUGAAGCACGUGCAGCGUUGCCUGGGCUCGCCCGUAGGUGCCAACCUGUGUGCUUCCCUGGGGGCGUCUGAGUAUCGCCCUAAACGCCCUGUGAUUUGCUCGCGAACGCUAGGGCACCCUCUGCAGUCUCCUGCUCCUGCCCCCCUGCUCUAGCACCGUUUUAGCCGUUAGGGGAAGUAGGUUGUUUUUUUUUUUUAUUUCUGCCUUCCAGAGCCUUCCGGAAUGACGGGCUGCGAAACCGGUACUGUCCUGCCUCACGCUGUUCUCUCUCUGCAGAGCUGGGUGCUCCUCGCCGUCUGGAGCUGCUUUCCGUGCCCUGCCGCGGCGGUGUCUCGUGCUGCUCAGCCCCAAAGGUACAGCCUGGGGAAGUUAGACGCGUCCGGUUCCUCUUGUCGCUACCUUUCGGCAAGCCUUCCAGCGUGGCCGGGUCUGAGGUGACCCCGUUCAUUCCUGUAGCGCUUGCCAGAGCAGCCCUGGGAUGGUUUGAGGCCUCUCUCUGCCCUCCUCAGGCGGAGGCUAUAGAAAUCUCAGACAUGCCCCGUCGCAUCGCAGGCAGAGCUGUGCGUUUCACUCACAGUGUCCCCCCAGCUCGAGCACCUUCUCUCUGACGUGUUCCUAGCCCUGUGCCAGCCUUUGGCGCUAUAAAUGGCAUCGCGUGCUGUUGUGGGCCUGUUGUAGACACUCCGGAUGUCUGAGCUGGUCUCGUUGCGUUGCGCUCAGGCAGAGCUGAGCUGGGUUUGCAGAGCACAGCGAUGCUUCCUUUUCUGGCACUGCCGUUGCUUUUCUUUUGAUGACACCCAGGUUCUUUUCCUCUGCAGUUCACAGCCUCCCUGUCUGCUGGCAACCCAGAAGGAUGUACGAAGCUGCUGGAAACGAGCAGAGCCAAGAGGAUGAGAAUGGAGUUUCACUUUGGGUCUCACCUGGGAUUGCAUCCUGCAAACAGGAGGUGCUUCUCCUCUGCCUGGAAGAAGAGCGUGAGCAGAGAAGGAUGAGGAAGCGAGUGAGGAUCAGCCCUUCCCGCUGGAGCAGAUGCUCCUGCAAAGUGAGAGGACUGCGUAGUCUUAGCAUUAACAGAAGGGAAACGCAAAGACCACCUGGGCUGACAGGGAAGCUGCAGCUCCUGGAAACCAUCUUGCAGCCCACGCUGGAAGCGGGACGUGGAGGGGGCUGCCCUGACACCCGGUACGUGUCCUCUGACUGCGAAGCUGGCUUGGCCCCCUCUGCCUCUCCCCCUGCCACCGCAGUACCCUGUGGGGCUGCUGCUCUGUGA